rnacentral:rRNA from 1 species
CAGUAGCCGCGGUAAUACGGAGGGAGCUAGCGUUGUUCGGAAUUACUGGGCGUAAAGCGCGCGUAGGCGGUUACUCAAGUCAGAGGUGAAAGCCCGGGGCUCAACCCCGGAACUGCCCUUGAAACUAGGUGACUAGAAUCUUGGAGAGGUCAGUGGAACUCCGAGUGUAGAGGUGAAAUUCGUAGAUAUUCGGAAGAACACCAGUGGCGAAGGCGACUGACUGGACAAGUAUUGACGCUGAGGUGCGAAGGCGUGGGGAGCAAACAGGAUUAGAUACCCGUGUAGUCCCUGUCUCUUAUAC